GAGGGCCGCCCGCGCCCCGUCCGCCCCUGCACCUCCCGCAGGGAAGGGGCAGCAGCCCGCGGGCCGCAACCCUCAGCCAGCUGGUGCUCUGCAGGAAAAUCCACACUCCCCAUCAGCGGCUGCCUUGCCAAAGAAAUAAACUGCUGCUCAGGUGGUAGAAGUCUCUCUAUGCCGCCCUCCUGAGGCAAGGGAGAACCUUUCCAAUUUCAGAGUGUAAGUGGAAGAAGCACGAAACCAUUUUGAGUUGAUAAGUGCUGAAAAUACUCAGGGAAAAAGGCUUGAAGGCAAGUACCAAACGAGGAUGGAAGAGGCAAGAUGGAUACCAUUGUCGUGAUCCUGAGGAGACUCCUCUGGGAUUUGGUGAAGUGGCCGAGAGGGAGCAGGUUGCCAGCCACGAACUGACACUGGGCAGACAGCACAGCUUGGUCCUUCCUUGCAGGGUCACAUCGAGCUGGGAAGAGGCUUUGGAAACCCAACAGGCAGCCUGGCUCCUGCUGUCAGUGAAAAUACUGCAAAAAGCUCCUACUUCCUCAUGUGAUGAACAGACCUCUCCUGGGUAAUCCCUUGAACUGAGGAAGGUGUUGCAGAAACCUGAGUCAUAAUAUACACUUCUUGCUAUCUUGGACAGUGGACGCCAAUGGGAAAGGGGCAUUAACAACACCACUGUAUGUACAAACAGAGAUAUUUAACAUGCAGCCUGCUUGGAAGGGCUUCAUAAUUCCCCUCACUCCUUAUAUUAACUUGUUCACUGGGGACAUUUAAUUCUUCUAGAAACUUCAGAGCAAGAUGAUUUGAAAUUAACAAAUACUGCAAGUGUAAUGACUUCUAUGCAUCAAAAUGGAUCCAGAUUUGCCUAUUUACUUCAGGGUCAGUCAGAUCUGUUUUCCCAUCAUAACGUAUUUGACAUUGAGGCUGCCUCAUAUUAAAAAUAAAAAACUCAAAGGCAAAAGAAAAUACUCACCAUAUUCAUUGUUAAUAAAUGUCUAAACCAGAAGACAACAAGACAAAUAAUGCCAAUAUCCAGAAACUCUAAGAGGCUUAUCUAAGCAUUAUUAUUAUCCCUUCAAAAUACAGAUAUUCUAGCCUCAAUACAGAACACAAAUUAGAAAAAAAUGCAGCAUUUCUCUACAAAUAAAACAGUU